rnacentral:rRNA from 1 species
GAUGAACGCUGGCGGCGUGCUUAGCACAUGCAAGUCGAACGGUGAAGGCGGAGCUUGCUCUGCUGGAUCAGUGGCGAACGGGUGAGUAACACGUGAGCAAUCUGCCCCUGACUCUGGGAUAAGCGCUGGAAACGGCGUCUAAUACUGGAUACGAGCUGCGAAGGCAUCUUCAGCAGCUGGAAAGAACUUCGGUCAGGGAUGAGCUCGCGGCCUAUCAGCUUGUUGGUGAGGUAACGGCUCACCAAGGCGUCGACGGGUAGCCGGCCUGAGAGGGUGACCGGCCACACUGGGACUGAGACACGGCCCAGACUCCUACGGGAGGCAGCAGUGGGGAAUAUUGCACAAUGGGCGAAAGCCUGAUGCAGCAACGCCGCGUGAGGGACGACGGCCUUCGGGUUGUAAACCUCUUUUAGCAGGGAAGAAGCGAAAGUGACGGUACCUGCAGAAAAAGCGCCGGCUAACUACGUG